rnacentral:rRNA from 1 species
UACAUAGGGACCGAGCGUUGUCCGGAUUCAUUGGGCGUAAAGAGCUCGUAGGCGGCCACUCAAGUCGAAUGUGAAACCUCGAGGCUUAACCUCGAGCCUGCAUUCGAUACUGGGCGGCUAGAGUCUGGUAGGGGGAUCUGGAAUUCCUGGUGUAGCGGUGGAAUGCGCAGAUAUCAGGAGGAACACCGGUGGCGAAGGCGGGAUCCUGGGCCAGUACUGACGCUGAGGAGCGAAAGCGUGGGGAGCAAACAGG